CCCGGGCUUUUGAUACGCUU
rnacentral:siRNA from 1 species